rnacentral:rRNA from 1 species
CUACGGGCCGCUGCAGUGAGGAAUAUUGCACAAUGGAGGAAACUCUGAUGCAGCCAUGCCGCGUGAGUGAAGAAGGCCUUAGGGUUGUAAAGCUCUUUCAAUGGUGAAGAUAAUGACGGUAGCCAUACAAGAAGCCCCGGCUAAAUUCGUGCCAGCAGCCGCGGUAAUACGAAUGGGGCAAGCGUUGUUCGGAAUCACUGGGCUUAAAGCGUGCGUAGGCGGAAAUGAAAGUCAGAAGUGAAAUCCCGGGGCUCAACCCCGGAACUGCUUUUGAAACUCCAUUUCUAGAAUCCGGUAGAGGUCAGGAGAAUUCCUAGUGUAGAGGUGAAAUUCGCAGAUAUUAGGAGGAAUACCAGUGGCGUAGGCGCCUGACUGGGCCGGUAUUGACGCUGAGGUACGAAAGCGUGGGGAGCAAACAGGAUUAGAUACCCGUGUAGUC